rnacentral:rRNA from 1 species
UACGAAGGGGGCUAGCGUUGCUCGGAAUCACUGGGCGUAAAGCGCACGUAGGCGGCUUUCUAAGUCAGGGGUGAAAUCCUGGAGCUCAACUCCAGAACUGCCUUUGAUACUGGAGAGCUUGAGUCCGGAAGAGGUGAGUGGAACUCCGAGUGUAGAGGUGAAAUUCGUAGAUAUUCGGAAGAACACCAGUGGCGAAGGCGGCUCACUGGUCCGGUACUGACGCUGAUGUGCGAAAGCGUGGG